AGGCGGAUAGCUCAGCUGGUUAGAGCAUCGCCCUUACAAGGCGAGGGUCGCAGGUUCGAGUCCUGUUCCGCCUA
rnacentral:tRNA from 1 species